GUAGGUGGCAAGUGUUGUCCGGAAUUAUUGGGCGUAAAGCGCGCGCAGGCGGUCCUUUAAGUCUGAUGUGAAAGCCCACGGCUCAACCGUGGAGGGUCAUUGGAAACUGGGGGACUUGAGUACAGAAGAGGAAAGCGGAAUUCCAAGUGUAGCGGUGAAAUGCGUAGAGAUUUGGAGGAACACCAGUGGCGAAGGCGGCUUUCUGGUCUGUAACUGACGCUGAGGCGCGAAAGCGUGGGGAGCAAACAGGGAUUAGAUACCCUGGUAGUCCACGCCGUAAACGAUGAGUGCUAAGUGUUAGGGGGUUUCCCGCCCCUUAGUGCUGCAGCUAACGCAUUAAGCACUCCGCCUGGGGAUACGGCCGCAAGGCUG
rnacentral:rRNA from 1 species